AGCGGUGAAAUGCGUAGAGAUCUGGAGGAAUACCGGUGGCGAAGGCGGCCCCCUGGGACGAAGACUGACGCUCAGGUGCGAAAGGCGUGGGGAGCAAACAGGAUUUAGAUACCCUGGUAGUCCACGCCGUAAACGAUGUCGACUUGGAGGUUGUGCCCUUGAGGCGUGGCUUCCGGAGCUAACGCGUUAAGUCGACCGCCUGGGGAGUACGGCCGCAAGGUUAAAACUCAAAUGAAUUGACGGGGGCCCGCACAAGCGGUGGAGCAUGUGGUUUAAUUCGAUGCAACGCGAAGAACCUUACCUGGUCUUGACAUCCACAGAACUUGGCAGAGAUGCCUUGGUGCCUUCGGGAACUGUGAGACAGGUGCUGCAUGGCUGUCGUCAGCUCGUGUUGUGAAAUGUUGGGUUAAGUCCCGCAACGAGCGCAACCCUUAUCCUUUGUUGCCAGCGGUUAGGCCGGGAACUCAAAGGAGACUGCCAGUGAUAAACUGGAGGAAGGUGGGGAUGACGUCAAGUCAUCAUGGCCCUUACGACCAGGGCUACACACGUGCUACAAUGGCGCAUACAAAGAGAAGCAAACUCGCGAGAGCAAGCGGACCUCAUAAAGUGCGUCGUAGUCCGGAUUGGAGUCUGCAACUCGACUCCAUGAAGUCGGAAUCGCUAGUAAUCGUGAAUCAGAAUGUCACGGUGAAUACGUUCCCGGGCCUUGUACACACCGCCCGUCACACCAUGGGAGUGGGUUGCAAAAGAAGUAGGUAGCUUAACCUUCGGGAG
rnacentral:rRNA from 1 species